UACGUAGGUACCAAGCGUUGUUCGGAUUUACUGGGCGUAAAGGGCGCGUAGGCGGCUCUGUAAGUCACUUGUGAAAUCUCUGAGCUUAACUCAGAACGGCCAAGUGAUACUGCAGUGCUAGAGUGUAGAAGGGGCAAUCGGAAUUCUUGGUGUAGCGGUGAAAUGCGUAGAUAUCAAGAGGAACACCUGAGGUGAAGACGGGUUGCUGGUCUAACACUUACGCUGAGUCGCGAAAGCGUGGGGAGCAAACAGG
rnacentral:rRNA from 1 species